UCCCUGCUGACGAGUCCAUGAAGGACGAAACGCUGCGUACAGGGA
rnacentral:hammerhead_ribozyme from 1 species